rnacentral:rRNA from 1 species
UACGUAGGGUGCAAGCGUUGUCCGGAAUUAUUGGGCGUAAAGAGCUCGUAGGCGGUCUGUUGCGUCGGCUGUGAAAACCCGGGGCUCAACUCCGGGCCUGCAGCCGAUACGGGCAGACUAGAGUUCGGCAGGGGAGACUGGAAUUCCUGGUGUAGCGGUGAAAUGCGCAGAUAUCAGGAGGAACACCGGUGGCGAAGGCGGUUCUCUGGGCAUUACCUGACGCUGAGGAGCGAAAGUGUGGGGAGCGAACAGGG